rnacentral:rRNA from 1 species
ACUGAACGCUGGCGGCAGGCUUAACACAUGCAAGUCGAACGAGUGGCGGACGGGUGAGUAAUGCUUGGGCAUCUAGCUUAUGGAGGGGGAUAACUACGGGAAACUGUAGCUAAUACCGCGUACCAUAGGAUGAGCCCAAGUGGGAUUAGGUAGUUGGUGAGGUAAAGGCGCGCCAAGCCGACGAUCCCUAGCGGGUAUGAGAGGAUGACCAGCCACACGGGGACUGAGACACGGCCCAGACUCCUGCGGGAGGCAGCAGUGGGGAAUAUUGAGUAAUGGGGGCAACCUGACGCAGCCAUGCAGCGUGAAUGAAGAAGGCCUUCGGGUUGUAAAGUUCUUUCGGUAGCGAGGCGUUAACUACAGAAGAAGCACCGGCUAACUCCGUGCCAGCUGCGGUAAUUC